rnacentral:lncRNA from 1 species
CAUAACCUGCCUUUGCUGGUGUGUGGCGAUUAGGCCUGGUGGAACCACCAUCAAUAAAUCAAGCGUGAUCAGGCUACUGCCUUCCUCAUCAACAAAGUGCCCCUUCCUGUUGACAAGUUGGCACCUUUACCUCUGGACAACAUUCUUCCCUUUAUGGAUCCAUUAAAGCUUCUUCUGAAAACUCUGGGCAUUUCUGUUGAGCACCUUGUGGAGGGGCUAAGGAAGUGUGUAAAUGAGCUGGGACCAGAGGCUUCUGAAGCUGUGAAGAAACUGCUGGAGGCGCUAUCACACUUGGUGUGACAUCAAGAUAAAGAGCGGAGGUGGAUGGGGAUGGAAGAUGAUGCUCCUAUCCUCCCUGCCUGAAACCUGUUCUACCAAUUAUAGAUCAAAUGCCCUAAAAUGUAGUGACCCGUGAAAAGGACAAAUAAAGCAAUGAAUAC